rnacentral:rRNA from 1 species
GGAAUCUUCCACAAUGGACGAAAGUCUGAUGGAGCAACGCCGCGUGAGUGAAGAAGGUUUUCGGAUCGUAAAACUCUGUUGGUAGAGAAGAACGUUGGUGAGAGUGGAAAGCUCAUCAAGUGACGGUAACUACCCAGAAAGGGACGGCUAACUACGUGCCAGCAGCCGCGGUAAUACGUAGGUGGCAAGCGUUAUCCGGAUUCAUUGGGCGUAAAGCGAGCGCAGGCGGUUUUUUAAGUCUGAUGUGAAAGCCUUCGGCUUAACCGAAGAAGUGCAUCGGAAACUGGGAAACUUGAGUGCAGAAGAGGACAGUGGAACUCCAUGUGUAGCGGUGAAAUGCGUAGAUAUAUGGAAGAACACCAGUGGCGAAGGCGGCUGUCUGGUCUGUAACUGACGCUGAGGCUCGAAAGCAUGGGUAGCGAACA